rnacentral:rRNA from 1 species
AUAUCAAUAAGCGGAGGAAAAGAAACCAACAGGGAUUACCUCAGUAACGGCGAGUGAAGCGGUAAAAGCUCAAAUUUGAAAUCUGGCUCUUUUAGAGUCCGAAUUGUAAUUUGUAGAAGAUGCUUCGGGUGUGGUUCCGGUCUAAGUUCCUUGGAACAGGACGUCAUAGAGGGUGAGAAUCCCGUAUGUGACUGGAUACCUAUGCUCAUGUGAAGCUCUUUCGACGAGUCGAGUUGUUUGGGAAUGCAGCUCAAAAUGGGAGGUAUAUUUCUUCUAAAGCUAAAUAUUGGCCAGAGACCGAUAGCGCACAAGUAGAGUGAUCGAAAGAUGAAAAGCACUUUGGAAAGAGAGUUAAACAGUACGUGAAAUUGUUGAAAGGGAAGCGCUUGCAAUCAGACUUGCACUUGGUGUUCAUCAGGGUCUCGUACCCUGUGUACUUCAUCAAGUUCAGGCCAGCAUCAGUUUGAGUGGUUAGAUAAAGGCUUAGAGAAUGUGGCCCUCUUCGGGGGGUGUUAUAGCUCUAGGUGCAAUGUAGCCUACUUGGACUGAGGACCGCGCUUCGGCUAGGAUGCUGGCGUAAUGGUUGUAAGCGA